CGCCCUGUGAUGCCCGGCGGCGGGCCAUUUAAAUCGGGCCCAAGAGAGAGCCAGAGGCGGAGCGAGGAGCCGAGCCCUCACCUGGGCAGCCAAAGGGGCUCCCCCAUGACCCUGCAAAGGAGUACUCCGUGGACCUCGGGAGGCAGCAGCCACGCCAGAUCUGAGCAGGAAGGCAGAGCGGCGCAUUAGCAUGGAAGCAUCUCCUCUGCAAUGGUGGCCAAAGCAUGAAGGGGCCAAGAAAGAAGAGGAACAAGCUUGCACAUCUGCUCCCAGAUGGUGGGGAUGGCUCUUUGACUGACAGCCCUUGGAUCCAUCUCCUGGCACAUCUGUAUGCAUGCUGUGGGGUCUUCUUGUAACCAGAGCUGCUGGAGCUGGGAUGUGGACUCCUGCUACAUGACAGGGCCAGGAAAUAAAGAUCAAUGUCCUACCUCAGAGAAAGCUGUACAGAACGUUGGAAAGUUGGCAGGUCCCUAUGGCACAUGAUAUUAUUAAACACAUAACAUAGUUAGAUGAACAGGGACAGCGCUCCAACGUUAACCAACCCUCUGCCUUCUGAGGUACAGUCCAGACUUGGGAGUAGCUGUCGCCCCUGCCCUGUAAAUGAAGGUGCCAUCUACACUGCUGUGCUGCUGUAGCCUCCAGCUGGGACUGCUCGCAACAGCUGCCAGAGUGGAAGUUACUUCCGGCUCUGUCUGUGGGAGAGUUACCAUGUCCAGGGACUUGACACCAUGUCCAGGGAGCACAUCCCUUUACCAGGCCCUGCUGCCACUUCCCAAACAGCACCGCCCGCCCUGGCUCAGGGACAGCUAGUAUUGCCCCGCUAAUAUGCCCCAUCUGCUUCGUGGGGCAUGGUAAUCGGCUCACAAUCGUAAAUGAAAGUUGCCAAACUGGGGGAAAGCAGGGCCUGCUUCUGCACCUUGCCAAGCAGCAUUCGUUGCCAUUUUCCUGUUGGUGAUAGGCAGGAGCAGGAGUGAGGGGGGUUGGUACCAAAGUUUGCUUCAUUAUCCCCGAGGAGCCGUAGCUAUUUGGUCCCUGGGCUGCUCAGGACGAUAGAGGCGCUUGUGGAAUCGUGCAUGUAAUAAACUGGCUCCUGCCUUUGGAGGCUCGGUGCAUCUGUUGUGCUGGGGAAGUGAGCCGUUGCUCUGAGCAAGAGGCAUGUCACUCGCUGAUUUCCCUGUUGCUGAUUCCUGCCAAGCAGUGCUGGGUGCAAAGUCCUGGCCGUCGGCAGGGAUCUUCCAGAUCUCUUGGAUUUACUUGGAGAAUGGCGCCUGUUCCAAAAUAUUUAUAAGGAAACGCUAAUCAGCUUGAGUGCAAGCAGCGGCUGGGUGGCAACACAGCUCAUCAGGCUCUCCGCUGCUUUAUACCAUGGGUAAAAUGUCCCCCCUUGGAAUAGUCUACAUCUACCCCCCAAAGCUUUAAACUAUUGCACAAAGAGCACAGAAACAGAAAACC